rnacentral:rRNA from 1 species
AUGGGUUAUCAUCAGAUUCGCAUUCGUGAAGAAGAUAUUCCCAAGACAGCAUUCAGAACAAGCUUUGGUUCUUAUGAAUAUACUAUCGUGUCUUUCGGCCUUGUCAAUGCUCCGCCAGUAUUCUCUCGGAUGAUGAAUUUCAUCUUCAACCCCUAUACCAAUGAAUUCGUCCUGGUGUAUCUCGAUGAUAUAUUGGUCUUCUCCAACAAUAAGAAGGAUCAUGCCAAACAUUUGCGAUUGGUGCUCGACAAGCUCAGAGAGUAUCAAUUCUAUGCGAAGUUCUCAAAAUGUGAGUUUUGGCUUGAUGAAGUUCUUUUCCUUGGUCACAUCAUCUCUGCCAAGGGCAUCACUGUUAAUCCCGAGAAGGUGUCCGCAAUUGUGAAUUGGGAACCUCCUCAGAAUGUCAAGCAGCUCCGCAGUUUUCUUGGUCUUGCAAGCUAUUGCCGAAGAUUCGUAGAGAAUUUCUCCAAGAUUGCAAAGCCUCGUUCCAACCUCCUCCAGAAGCAUGUGAAGUAUGUCUGGUCUCCUGAGUGUGAUGUUGCUUUCAACACUCUCAAAGAGAAACUAGUCACAGCUCCUGUCUUAACUCCUCCUUAUGAAUCCAAGCCAUUUGAAGUUUUCUGUGAUGCUUCUCUCCAAGGUCUCGGUGCUGUAUUAAUGCAAGAGAAGAAAGUUGUGGCCUAUACCUCUCGUCAGUUGAAGCCCAAUGAGAAGAACUACCCCACUCACGAUCUUCAGUUGGCGGCAGUUGUCCAUGCAUUAAUAAUGUGGAGACAUCUCUUGUUGGGAAGACAAGUGGACAUAUUCACCGAUCAGAAGAGUCUCAAGUACAUCUUCACUCAGCCCAACCUCAACCUCAGGCAGACUCGAUGGGUCGAAAUGAUUCAAGAGUACAAUCCGAGUAUUGAAUAUACUCCAGGCAAAGCCAAUGUCAUUGCAGAUGCUUUGAGCAGGAAGGCUUAUUGCAACAACUUAAUUCUCAAGCCAUUCCAACCGGAUCUUUGUGAAGCUUUCCGCAAGCUGAAUCUCCAAGUUGUUCCUCAAGACUUUCUUGCCAACCUCAUAGUCUCUCCUACUUUGGAAGAUCAAAUUCGUGAGGCACAACUUCUUGAUGCCAUGGUGAAGAAGGUGAAACGUGGUAUCGACAAGGGUCUUUCCAAAUACAAGUGCUAUCGCAUUGAUGACAGAGACACUUUAUUCUUCGAGGACCGGAUUGUGGUUCCUAAAGGUGAUCUAAGGAAAGUCAUUAUGAACGAGGCGCACAAUUCUCUUCUUUCCAUUCAUCCUGGAAGUACGAAGAUGUAUCAUGACCUCAAGCAGUCGUAUUGGUGGACUCGAAUGAAGCGAGAAAUUGCUCAAUUCGUGAAUGAAUGUGAUGUCUGUCGAAGAGUGAAAGCAGAACACCAACGACCAGCUGGUCUCCUCCAACCUCUUGCUAUCCCAGAAUGGAAGUUUGAUCAUAUCGAAAUGGACUUCGUGACUGGAUUUCCAAAGUCCAAGCGUGGAAAUGAUGCUAUCUUCGUUGUCAUUGACAAGCUUUCUAAAAUGGCUCAUUUCCUUCCAAUCAAAGAAUCCAUCACAGCAGUUCAGUUCGCAGAGCUAUACACCUCCAGAAUUGUCUCCUUGCACGGCAUUCCACAAUUGAUUUCUUCAGAUCGUGGAAGCAUCUUCACCCCUAAGUUCUGGGACUCCUUCCAGAAGGCCAUGGGCACAAACAUUCGCUUCAGCACAGCUUUCCAUCCUCAAACUAGUGGCCAAGUCGAGCGAGUCAAUCAAAUUCUUGAAGAUAUGCUCAGGGCUUGUGUCAUUUCCUUUGGCAUGAAAUGGGAAGAUUGUCUUCCAUAUGCCGAAUUCUCCUACAACAACAGCUUCCAAGCAAGUUCGGGCAAGGCCCCAUUCAAGAUUCUCUAUGGCAGAAAGUGUUGUACUCCUCUUAAUUGGUCAGAGACUGGUGAACGCCAACUUCUUGGCAAUGACUUAAUCAUAGAAGCCGAAGAAAUGUGUAAAGUCAUCCGUGAUAAUCUCAAAGCCGCGCAAUCGCGCCAGAAGAGUUACUAUGAUAGUAAGCACCGUGAUGUGGCUUUCGAGAUCGGAGACCAUGUCUACCUCCGCGUCUCUCCAAUGAAAGGCACUCGUCGCUUCAAUAUCAAAGGGAAGCUUGCCCCUAGAUACGUGGGUCCUUUCAAGAUCAUUGGCAAAAGAGGCGACCUCGCCUAUCAACUUGAGCUUCCUUCCAACUUCGCGAACGUGCAUGAUGUGUUUCACGUGUCACAGCUUCGCAAGUGCUUCAAGAUGCCUGAGCGCAUUAUCAACUUCGAAGAUAUCGACCUUCAAGAAGAUUUGUCUUAUCAUGAGCACCCCGUUGCUAUUCUUGAAGAAACUGAGCGCAAGACUCGCAACAAGUCAAUCAAAUUCCUGAAAGUGAAGUGGUCGCACCAUUCCGACCGGGAAGCCACCUGGGAACGCGAGGACCAUCUUCGUUCUGAAUAUCUGGAGUUCUUUCAGUCCUAG